GUAUACAUUAAAAACCUUAGUUACUUCGUGAGAAUGAUUUGUAAGAUGUAAUUAUUUUAAGCGUAAUUAACUCUUGUUAUCUUCAGUUUCCUCCUAAUUACAAAAAAGGUAAGUGUGACUUUUAUGAGUGUUGCCUUGUGAGAUCUUAUCUCAUGAAGUUUUUUUUUUUUUUUGGUAAAAAUCUCAUGAAGUUCCUCUACAUCUCAUGAAGUUCCUCUACAAUUUUGUAGUUUAUCUCAUCGCAACAACCCUAACUCUCAACAUAGCUUCCCUUGCAUCUCUUUCUCUCUUGAUCCUAGCCAUUUCUCUUGUCCUCCAAACUUCGUACUCUUCAGCUUCAUUGUUUUCGUCAUCAGUUUCUACAUCUUCUAGUACUAACAUGUUCUUCAGGAUCUCCUCAUCUUUCCUAAGUUCCUCAGCUACUAUUUGCUUUGUCUCUAUCUUUCUUAUCUCAAGUUUUCUCUUUGCUAGUUCCUCAAAAGCUUCUACUUCAGCCUCAAGACGCUUACGCUCAGCUACCGUAUCUCUCGCAUCUUUUAGUACAUAGAAAGGCUUGAUCAUGUUAAUCACAUGCAUCUCUUCUUCGUCUUCUGAAUCAUCAUCAGUCUCGUAUUCAUCUUCAUCUUCAUCUUCAUCUUCUACAUCCUCCUCUUGCUCUCUUUCAAGAUUCGCUUCUUUGAUUCUUCUUCUUCGUAUUUCUUCAUUUUCUUCCUCGUCGUCUCUAGUCUCAUCCUCUUCUUGUUCUGUAGAUACAAUCUCAGCCUGUCUAAUACGCAUAUGAUCAGCUAUAACUUGUUCACGAUCUUCAGUUCUUGCCUGAGCUAAACGUCGCAGCCUUGGAUCAUCCUUCCAAUCCAAAACAACAACUUUGUGCAUCGUAACAUCUUCUUCUACCUCUUCUUUAUACUCGGCCCAUUCGGGAGCUUUUCCAGACCAAUAUCUUUUCACUUUUGUCUGUCCAAUCUUACCACGUAGCUUUUCCCUUAUACUGAUUAUGGUAUCACUCACUCCUGCCGUGACUGACAUCUUUGCUCGAGAGAUAACGAUCGAGAGGGGUUAAUAGAUUCGACGAAACUGUGCGAAAGAAAACCCUAGAAAAUCGUGGCGUGACUGAGAAGAGAAGAGAAGACGAUCUAUUUGAAGAUUAGGUUUGAGUUAAAAGAGUUUGUUUCGUUUUUAUAGGGAUACCAUUGUAUUUAGAUUCCGAUAAGGAUAUGGUUUUAGUAAAUUUGUCAAUCUAAUCUUUACCUUUUUUCCAUUUUUCUAAAAAAAAAAAUUUGCGACCAACCAAACAGUCCUUAAAAAAGGAAAAUACACCAAAGAGGUUUUUAUUUACACUGAGUACAGACCAAAUCAAAAUAUAAUCCCCCCAAAAUGUACUCGUUGCUCGUUGUUAAGUCAAAAUUUGACCUUGUGUAGAAAAAACUUCAGUCAUCCUCAUCAAGUACCAUCUUCAGUUUUCUCCUACUAAGCGGGCUUUGAGUGAGAGAGGCACUACCAGCUGCAGAGUCAUCACCUGAAUCUGCUAACUCAUCAUCGGAAUCUGCUAACUCAUCAUCGGAAUCUGCUAACUCAUCAUCCUCCAGUUCAUGGUCUGAUGAAAGAUUUGGAUCGUCUGGAGAUGAAGUAGAAGGAGCAGUGUUGCUGAUGUGAACAUCUGAUUCAGAUUCUCUACUUUCUCCGAUGAUGGCCUCUUGAUCAUUGUUCUCUUCUUUGCCAGUGGUAGGCACAUGCGGAUUAGGUUCAUUCCUAAACAAAAAGAUUGACUUUUGUGAGAGUUACUCUUGAGAUCCAUCUCAGAAGUUUGUUUUCAUUGAGAGUUAAUCUUGUCUAUAAACUGUGUGAGACAGAAUGAGUGCAGGGUUUUACCUUUCUGUGUUGUCUUUAGAACCUCCUGUAGUAAUCUCAUUGCUUGAUCUUGUGGGCUUUUUACUCUUCUGAUUUGUUCUUCUCUUUCUGCAGAAGAAGACAAGUCUUAAGCAUCAGUUUGCAUCGUUCAAGAAACCAAGUUUGAUUGAUGACAAAAAAAAGAAAAAAGAAAAAAGAAAAAAGAAAAAAGAAACCAAGUUUGAUUUUGAGGGGAGCCAUUAGCAAAUCUUGUUCUAACAUUUAGUUACCUG
rnacentral:lncRNA from 1 species